rnacentral:rRNA from 1 species
UAUGCUUAGCCCUAAACAUUGACAGCAACAUACACCUGUUGUCCGCCUGGGAACUACGAGCAUCAGCUUGAAACCCAAAGGACUUGGCGGUGCUUUAGAUCCACCUAGAGGAGCCUGUUCUAGAACCGAUAACCCCCGUUCAACCUCACCCUUCUUUGUUUCCCCCGCCUAUAUACCGCCGUCGUCAGCUUACCCUGUGAAGGACUUAUAGUAAGCAAAAUUGGUACAACCCUAAACGCCAGGUCGAGGUGUAGCGUAUGGAAGGGGAAGAAAUGGGCUACAUUCUCUAACACAGAGAAAACGAAUGAUGUACUGAAAUACACGUCUGAAGGAGGAUUUAGCAGUAAGCAGGAAGUAGAGUGUCCCGCUGAAAUUGGCCCUGAAGCGCGCACACACCGCCCGUCACUCUCCCCAAACUAAUUGAAUUCAAUUAAAUAAAACCCCAUCGCAGUAAAGGGGAGGCAAGUCGUAACAUGGUAAGUGUACUGGAAAGGUGCAA